GACGAACGCUGGCGGCGUGCUUAACACAUGCAAGUCGAACGGAAAGGCCCUGCUUUUGUGGGGUGCUCGAGUGGCGAACGGGUGAGUAACACGUGAGUAACAUGCCCUUGACUUUGGGAUAACUUCAGGAAACUGGGGCUAAUACCGGAUAGGAGCUCCUGCUGCAUGGUGGGGGUUGGAAAGUUUCGGCGGUUGGGGAUGGACUCGCGGCUUAUCAGCUUGUUGGCGGGGUAGUGGCUUACCAAGGCUUUGACGGGUAGCCGGCCUGAGAGGGUGACCGGCCACAUUGGGACUGAGAUACGGCCCAGACUCCUACGGGAGGCAGCAGUGGGGAAUAUUGCACAAUGGGCGGAAGCCUGAUGCAGCAACGCCGCGUGCGGGAUGACGGCCUUCGGGUUGUAAACCGCUUUCGCCUGUGACGAAGCGUGAGUGACGGUAAUGGGUAAAGAAGCACCGGCUAACUACGUG
rnacentral:rRNA from 1 species